CAGUGGUCAGGCUGGGAGGGGCGCGAGCUCUUUGGUUCGUGAGCGGUCGGUCGGUCGGUCGGUCGGUCA
rnacentral:miRNA from 1 species